rnacentral:rRNA from 1 species
GAUGAACGCUGGCGGCGUGCCUAAUACAUGCAAGUCGAGCGAACAGACGAGGAGCUUGCUCCUCUGACGUUAGCGGCGGACGGGUGAGUAACACGUGGAUAACCUACCUAUAAGACUGGGGUAACUUCGGGAAACCGGAGCUAAUACCGGAUAAUAUAUUGAACCGCAUGGUUCAAUAGUGAAAGACGGUUUUGCUGUCACUUAUAGAUGGAUCCGCGCCGCAUUAGCUAGUUGGUAAGGUAACGGCUUACCAAGGCAACGAUGCGUAGCCGACCUGAGAGGAUGAUCGGCCACACUGGAACUGAGACACGGUCCAGACUCCUACGGGAGGCAGCAGUAGGGAAUCUUCCGCAAUGGGCGAAAGCCUGACGGAGCAACGCCGCGUGAGUGAUGAAGGUCUUCGGAUCGUAAAACUCUGUUAUUAGGGAAGAACAAAUGUGUAAGUAACUAUGCACGUCUUGACGGUACCUAAUCAGAAAGCCACGGCUAACUACGUG